UACGUAGGGUGCAAGCGUUGUCCGGAAUCAUUGGGCGUAUAGCGCGCGUAGGUGGUCAUGUAAGUCCGCUGUGAAAGUCAAAGGCUCAACCUUUGAAAGCCGGUGGAUACUGCAUGACUAGAGUACGGAAGAGGCGAGUGGAAUUCCUGGUGUAGCGGUGGAAUGCGCAGAUAUCAGGAGGAACACCAAUAGCGAAGGCAGCUCGCUGGGACGUUACUGACACUGAGGCGCGAAAGCGUGGGGAGCGAACAGG
rnacentral:rRNA from 1 species